rnacentral:rRNA from 1 species
GUAACACGUAAAGAACCUGCCCUCAGGUCUGGGAUAACCACGAGAAAUCGGGGCUAAUACCGGAUGGGUCAUCGGACCGCAUGGUCCGAGGAUGAAAGGCGCUUCGGCGUCGCCUGGGGAUGGCUUUGCGGUGCAUUAGCUAGUUGGUGGGGUAAUGCCCCACCAAGGCGACGAUGCAUAGCCGACCUGAGAGGGUGAUCGGCCACACUGGGACUGAGACACGGCCCAGACUCCUACGGGAGGCAGCAGUAGGGAAUCUUCCACAAUGGACGAAAGUCUGAUGGAGCAACGCCGCGUGAACGAUGAAGGCCUUCGGGUCGUAAAGUUCUGUUGUAAGGGAAGAACAAGUGCCGCAGGCAAUGGCGGCACCUUGACGGUACCUUGCGAGAAAGCCACGGCUAACUACGUGCCAGCAGCCGCGGUAAUACGUAGGUGGCAAGCGUUGUCCGGAAUUAUUGGGCGUAAAGCGCGCGCAGGCGGCCUCUUAAGUCUGAUGUGAAAGCCCCCGGCUCAACCGGGGAGGGCCAUUGGAAACUGGGAGGCUUGAGUAUAGGAGAGAAGAGUGGAAUUCCACGUGUAGCGGUGAAAUGCGUAGAGAUGUGGAGGAACACCAGUGGCGAAGGCGACUCUUUGGCCUAUAACUGACGCUGAGGCG